rnacentral:rRNA from 1 species
CAUGCCUUAUACAUGCAAGUCGAACGCGAAAGUACCUUCGGGUAUCAGUAGAGUGGCAAACGGGUGAGUAACGCGUGGGAAUAUACCUUAUAGUACGGAAUAGCCUCGGGAAACUGGGAUUAAUACCGUAUACGCCCUUAGGGGGAAAGAUUUAUCGCUAUAAGAUUAGCCCGCGUCAGAUUAGCUAGUUGGUGGGGUAACGGCCUACCAAGGCAACGAUCUGUAGCUGGUCUGAGAGGAUGACCAGCCACAUUGGGACUGAGAUACGGCCCAAACUCCUACGGGAGGCAGCAGUAGGGAAUAUUGGACAAUGGGGGAAACCCUGAUCCAGCAAUGCCUCGUGAGUGAUGAAGGCCUUAGGGUUGUAAAGCUCUUUUAGUGGGAAAGAUAAUGACGGUACCCACAGAAAAAGCACCGGCUAACUCCGUGCCAGCAGCCGCCGUAA